rnacentral:misc_RNA from 1 species
UAAUUAUUUAACUUAAUUAAUGUUCUUACAAAAAUCUAGCCGUAGAUACAAACAUACAUUUUGACAUAACUAGACACAGCAGUCCGCCCUAUUUAUGGGCUUUAUAAACAUAGGUUAUAUAUAAUAUAUAUAUACUUAUAAUUACUCAUAUCGAUACACUAUUUGGAACACCCCUACAUGUUACUCCAGGGCCUGAACUUGGUGCCAAUAGUUCAUAUGGUAAUACACCAGCACCACACCUAUUUUUUAGAUUCGUAUCGGCAUUUCUUUCAUCUAUCUCCUUCUCAAUUCUCCCUAUUUCCGCGGAAAAUUUGUAGAAUGCUUCAACAAUCUCUGCAUCUCCGGUCCAAGUAGACGGUUGCUGUCUUUCCCCUAUGUAUUCUUCAUCUGGGGAAUGUGUCGAUAAUGUGUCAACCACGGCCAUGAACUUUGUUGCUUGUAACAAACUUGGUAAAGCUGAGAAGAAAUAUUUUUGUGGAUCAGCUAGGAACACCGCAUACUCGGGAUCGUUCUCGUCAGGGAUUAAUCGACGCAUGAGUGGUGGUCGGUUUGGAACGUAUCCACUGUAAGGGUACUGCCCGAAAUUCAGGGCAGCAUGUUGCGCUGAAGCCAGCCAGAUGAGGGUGGUGAGGAUGGAAAUGAGGUCCUCUGGAGUAGCUAACGUGGGCCACCAGUCCUCGUUGCGGAGGUCAACGUGGCCCACAUUAAUAGUCUCAGUAUACCAAGCUUGCAGCUCCCUGUCACUGCAAACUUGGGCCGAGGAUGGAUAGUAGUGAUCUACGUAAUCGCGAACCCAGCCCUCGAUUGCGCCCCAUAUCAUAAGCCCAUCUGCAGCAUAAGGAUAGUCCUCAAUUAGAAGUUUCAGCCCAUAAGGCUGUGUUGCGUCCGGUACUGCCAUCCCUCUUCGGAUAAGGUCAGCUGGAAGGCCUUCUAAAUCAAAGCGCCAGUUCUUGUAGGCAGCAGCACUGAUCUCCAUGCAGUAGCGACCAGGAGUAAAGCAAGCCUCGAUGACACCAUCAGCAUUGAUCAAGCUCUGGCGAGCCAAGCCGUUAAUUUCUAGAGUGUAUCUCAUAUGUGGAUCCAAA